AUUUCAACUCCAGUUAUCUAAGAAAUCUACUACACCCUAGUAAUCGUGAAUCAUCAGCUCAUGUUGACUACGUCCCUGUUCUUUGUACACACCGCCUGUCACUCCUACCGAUUGAAUGAUUCGAUGAAAUGUUCGAAUCGCGGCGACGUGGGCGGUUCGCUGCCCGCAACGUCGCAAGAUGUCUAUUGAACCUUAUCAUUUAGAGAAAGGAGAAUUCGUAACAAGGUUUCCGUAGGUGAACAUGCGGAAGGAUCAUUG
rnacentral:ncRNA from 1 species